GGAUUGCCUUAGUAACGGCGAGUGAAGCGGCAAAAGCUCAAAUUUGAAAUCUGGUACCUUCGGUGCCCGAGUUGUAAUUUGGAGAGGGCAACUUUGGGGCCGUUCCUUGUCUAUGUUCCUUGGAACAGGACGUCAUAGAGGGUGAGAAUCCCGUGUGGCGAGGAGUGCGGUUCUUUGUAAAGUGCCUUCGAAGAGUCGAGUUGUUUGGGAAUGCAGCUCUAAGUGGGUGGUAAAUUCCAUCUAAAGCUAAAUAUUGGCGAGAGACCGAUAGCGAACAAGUACAGUGAUGGAAAGAUGAAAAGAACUUUGAAAAGAGAGUGAAAAAGUACGUGAAAUUGUUGAAAGGGAAGGGCAUUUGAUCAGACAUGGUGUUUUGUGCCCUCUGCUCCUUGUGGGUAGGGGAAUCUCGCAUUUCACUGGGCCAGCAUCAGUUUUGGUGGCAGGAUAAAUCCAUAGGAAUGUAGCUUGCCUCGGUAAGUAUUAUAGCCUGUGGGAAUACUGCCAGCUGGGACUGAGGACUGCGACGUAAGUCAAGGAUGCUGGCAUAAUGGUUAUAUGC
rnacentral:rRNA from 1 species